rnacentral:rRNA from 1 species
GACGAACGCUGGCGGCGUGCCUAAUACAUGCAAGUAGAACGCUGAAGGAGGAGCUUGCUUCUCUGGAUGAGUUGCGAACGGGUGAGUAACGCGUAGGUAACCUGCCUGGUAGCGGGGGAUAACUAUUGGAAACGAUAGCUAAUACCGCAUAAUAGUAGAUGUCGCAUGACAUUUGCUUAAAAGGUGCAAUUGCAUCACUACCAGAUGGACCUGCGUUGUAUUAGCUAGUUGGUGAGGUAACGGCUCACCAAGGCAACGAUACAUAGCCGACCUGAGAGGGUGAUCGGCCACACUGGGACUGAGACACGGCCCAGACUCCUACGGGAGGCAGCAGUAGGGAAUCUUCGGCAAUGGACGGAAGUCUGACCGAGCAACGCCGCGUGAGUGAAGAAGGUUGUCGGAUCGUAAAGCUCUGUUGUAAGAGAAGAACGAGUGUGAGAGUGGAAAGUUCACACUGUGACGGUAUCUUACCAGAAAGAGACGGCUAACUACGUG